rnacentral:rRNA from 1 species
ACUGGUUGAUCCUGCCAGUAGUCAUAUGCUUGUCUCAGAGAUUAAGCCAUGCAUGUCUAAGUACAUACCUUAAAACGGUGAAACCGCGAAUGGCUCAUUAAAUCAGCUAUGGUUCCUUAGAUCGUAAACGCUACAUGGAUAACUGUAGUAAUUCUAGAGCUAAUACAUGCCUUGAAUCCCUGACCCGCAAGGGGACGGGUGCAUUUAUUAGAACAGAACCAACCGGGUGCGGCUUAUGCUGUGCCUGUUACAUUCUGUGAUGACUCUGGAUAACUUUACUGAUCGCAGUCGGCCUUGUGUGUCGGCGACGGAUCUUUCAAAUGUCUGCCCUAUCAAUUUGUUGGUAGGUGAUUUGCCUACCAUGAUGAUAACGGGUAACGGGGAAUCAGGGUUCGAUUCCGGAGAGGGAGCCUGAGAAAUGGCUACCACAUCCAAGGACGGCAGCAGGCGCGAAAAUUACCCACUCCCAGCACGGGGAGGUAGUGACGAAAAAUACGGAUACGGGACUCAAUUGAGGCUCCGUAAUUCGAAUGAGUACAAUUUAAAUCCUUUAACGAGGACCAAUUGGAGGGCAAGUCUGGUGCCAGCAGCCGCGGUAACUCCAGCUCCAAAAGCGUAUAUUAAAGUUGCUGCAGUUAAAAAGCUCGUAGUUGGAUCUGGGUAGUGCGAUCGCAUGCUGUUGCUUGUUCACGGUCUUGGUUACGAUCAGGGCAGUGGUCAGCUCGGCGUAGUGGUUGUGCAACCUUUCAGCCGUGUCUGUGUUUUAUUAAACAGGUGUCGAUGGGUUAAUGAGUAUUGUAUCUUAUUGACCUGUUGGCAUGCUUUCGGAUGCCUUUAAACGGGUGUCGGGGGCGGACGGCAUCUUUACUUUGAACAAAUUUGAGUGCUCAAAGCAGGCCUAUGCGCCUGAAAAUUCUUGCAUGGAAUAAUGAAAUAGGACUUCGGUUCUAUUUUGUUGGUUUUCGGAUCCGAAGUAAUGGUUAAGAGGGACAGACGGGGGCAUUUGUAUGGCGGUGUUAGAGGUGAAAUUCUGGGAUCGCCGCCAGACAAACUACAGCGAAAGCAUUUGCCAAGAAUGUUUUCAUUGAUCAGGAGCGAAAGUCAGAGUUUCGAAGACGAUCAGAUACCGUCGUAGUUCUGACCAUAAACGAUGCCAACUGACGAUCCGCGUUGGUUCUAUAAUUGACAUCGCGGGCAGUCCCCGGGAAACCUUUAAGUCUUUGGGCUCCGGGGGGAGUAUGGUUGCAAAGCUGAAACUUAAAGGAAUUGACGGAAGGGCACCACCAGGAGUGGAGCCUGCGGUUUAAUUCGACUCAACACGGGAAAACUCACCCGGCCCGGACACUGUGAGGAUUGACAGAUUGAAAGCUCUUUCUUGAUUCGGUGGUUGGUGGUGCAUGGCCGUUCUUAGUUGGUGGAGCGAUUUGUCUGGUUAAUUCCGAUAACGAACGAGACUUUAACCUACUAAAUAGUAGACUGGUCCUCUGUGCUCGUUCAGGGCGCGGCUUCUACUGCUUCUUUAUGGAGUAGUGUGGUCGUGAUCCGACGGGUGCGGUGCCAGUUUUUACUUCUUAGAGGGACAAGCGGCACACUUAAGUCGC